rnacentral:rRNA from 1 species
UGAGGAAUAUUGGUCAAUGGUCGAGAGACUGAACCAGCCAAGUCGCGUGAAGGAAGGCGGUAUUAUGUAUUGUAAACUUCUUUUUAUUGGGAAUAAAAGGCAUCACGAGUGAUGUAUUGCAGGUACCAAUAGAAUAAGCAUCGGCUAACUCCGUGCCAGCAGCCGCGGUAAUACGGAGGAUGCGAGCGUUAUCCGGAUUUAUUGGGUUUAAAGGGUGCGUAGGUUGAUAUUUAAGUCAGCGGUGAAAUUUUACAGCUUAACUGUAUUCGUGCCGUUGAAACUGGGAAUCUUGAGAGGGCGCGAGGUAGGCGGAAUUCGUGGUGUAGCGGUGAAAUGCAUAGAUAUCACGAAGAACUCCGAUAGCGCAGGCAGCUUACCAGAGCUCUUCUGACACUGAAGCACGAAAGUGUGGGUAUCAAACAGGAUUAGAUACCCUGGUAGUCCACACAGUAAACGAUGAUUACUCGCUGUUUGUGAUAUAUUUCAAGCGGCCAAGCGAAAGCGUUAAGUAAUCCACCU